rnacentral:piRNA from 1 species
AUCUGAAUUUACUUGAUCGAUGC